rnacentral:misc_RNA from 1 species
GAUGAAGAAGUAGCGAAAUGCGAUAAGUAAUGUGAAUUGCAGAAUUCAGUGAAUCAUCGAAUCUUUGAACGCACAUUGCGCCCGCCAGUAUUCUGGCGGGCAUGCCUGUUCGAGCGUCAUUUCAACCCUCAAGACCCCUUCGGGGGACUUGGUGUUGGGGACCGGCACAGGGGCCUGCCUGCUUGUCUUGCAGCGCCCUCGCCGCCCCCGAAAUGAAUUGGCGGCCUCGUCGCGGCCUCCCCUGCGUAGUAGCACAACCUCGCAACGGGAACGUGACGGCGGCCACUGCCGUAAAACAACCCCAAUUUUAUUAGAGUUGACCUCGAAUCAGGUAGGAAUACCCGCUGAACUUAAGCAUAUCAAUAAGCGGAGGA